UACGAAGGGGGCUAGCGUUGUUCGGAAUCACUGGGCGUAAAGCGCACGUAGGCGGCUUGCUAAGUCAGGGGUGAAAUCCUGGAGCUCAACUCCAGAACUGCCUUUGAUACUGGCGAUCUUGAGUCCGGGAGAGGUGAGCGGAACUGCGAGUGUAGAGGUGAAAUUCGUAGAUAUUCGCAAGAACACCAGUGGCGAAGGCGGCUCACUGGCCCGGUACUGACGCUGAGGUGCGAAAGCGUGGGGAGCAAACAGG
rnacentral:rRNA from 1 species